AACGAACGCUGGCGGCAGGCUUAACACAUGCAAGUCGAACGGGCGUAGCAAUACGUCAGUGGCAGACGGGUGAGUAACACGUGGGAACCUUCCUCGUUGUACGGAACAACUCAGGGAAACUUGAGCUAAUACCGUAUACGUCCGAGAGGAGAAAGAUUUAUCGCAAUGAGACGGGCCCGCGUCGGAUUAGGUAGUUGGUGGGGUAACGGCCUACCAAGCCGACGAUCCGUAGCUGAUCUGAGAGGAUGAUCAGCCACACUGGGACUGAGACACGGCCCAGACUCCUACGGGAGGCAGCAGUGGGGAAUCUUGGACAAUGGGCGCAAGCCUGAUCCAGCCAUGCCGCGUGAGUGAAGAAGGCCUUAGGGUUGUAAAGCUCUUUUACCAGGGACGAUAAUGACGGUACCUGGAGAAUAAGCCCCGGCAAACUUCGUGCCAGCAGCCGCGGUAAUAC
rnacentral:rRNA from 1 species